GAUGAAGAACGUAGUGAAAUGCGAUACUUGGUGUGAAUUGCAGAAUCCCGCGAAUCAUCGAGUUUUUGAACGCAAGUUGCGCCCGAAGCCAUUCGGUCGAGGGCACGUCUGCCUGGGUGUCACGCAUCGUUGCCCCCCCAAACUCCGGUUCGGGCGGGGCGGAAGUUGGCCUCCCGUGCGUGCCUGCGCGCGCGGUUAGCCCAAAAGCGAGUCCUCGGCGACGAGCGCCACGACAAUCGGUGGUUUUUUUACCCUCGUUCCUCGUCGUGCGUGUCCCGUCGCCCGAACGCGCUCUUGUGACCCUCACGCGUCGCCUCGGCGGCGCUCCCAACGCGACCCCAGGUCAGGCGGGACUACCCGCUGAGUUUAAGCAUAUCAAUAAGCGGAGGA
rnacentral:misc_RNA from 1 species